GUCAUGAGCAGAAUAAUAAAGUAUGGCCAGCAGAAUAUACUGAGAAGACUGUCAGCUCUACAGAAGAGCCGCAAGUAAAGGAGAAACUUAAUGAUCCCCCAAAGACCUCAAACAGAUUCUUCUCAGUGAUCAGGCGUUUUUUCAAACGUCUUACUCGGAAGAAGAAAGUCUCAGGAGGAAAAAAAGAGAACAAAGAAUCUGACAGCAUUGC